rnacentral:lncRNA from 1 species
GCCAGCUCCUAAGCUCACUUGGGCAGAGAAGAACAGCAAACAUACUAAGCUGCUUCCCCACUUCACAAGGCCACAGCCUCAGGACCUCAAGCAGGGAAAGCAUCUCUGAAUGACUAAAAAGAUGGCUGUCUCCAUCCAGAUACAACCCAGCUGUCAAGGGUAGCCCAGGCCAGGUCUCCCCAGACAUGACCACCAGGAGCCUGGAGCCACCCAAGGAGCCAGGAAGGUCUCCCUAGGCCCAGCCAUCAAAUGUCAAAAUACUCCCAAGGAACCCAGGUCAAAGGCAAGGCUACUUGGUGUCCAGAGCCAACAAGGAGCCCAGAACGGGUCACCUCAAGCCAGACAACCAGUUACCUAAAACAACUCAGAUGUCUAUAGAAAGUCUCCCUAGGCCCAGCUACCAAGGACAGAAAGACAUCAAGGGACCCAGGGCAAGUCUCACUGGGCCCAGGCACCAGGUACCCAUGGAUACGAAGUAGUCUGGGAAGGUGUCCCCAGGCCUAGCCACCAGGAUCCCAGAGACAUCAAGGAUCCCAAGGGAGAUCUCCUCAUGGCUGGCCACAAGGCACCCACAGGCACCAAGGAACCCAGGGGAGGUCUUCCCAGGGCUGGCAAUAAGACACCCAGUCACACCAACGACCCCAAUAAAGGUCUUCCAAGGUCUGACCUCCAUGGAAGGAAAGACACAAAGGAGCCCAGGGAGGUCCCCCUGGUCCACCCGCCAGGUACCUAGAAACACCAGGAAGCCCAGUGCACAACUAUCCUGGCCCAGCCACCCCUACUGAAAAUCAGCCAGGAGCCUAACAGAAGUCUGUCUGGUGUGCUUGGUGCAGGCGGUCAGGCAACAUUCUCUCAGGGAUCCUCUGGUGCCAGCCUUCCUGGAUAGCCAACCCUUCUGUUGUGCCUCCGUCCUGAGCUCCUCUAGGGUAUAAACCUCCACCCAACAGACCCCACUGAUGGGAGGAAGGGUCAUUUCUCUCCUCCUAAGCUCCUGGCUGGAGAUACACACCAAGGCCAACCCUCCAGCUCACUGUCCUCUGACCCAGCUGUCACACCCCAAGCCCACUGAGGCAGAGAGCAACGCUGCAGGGCAAAUGGCAACCCAUGCUCGAGUCCUGCAUGCAGAACUCGUGCCAGCUCCGCAUGCAGCUCCACCAGCUCAGCAAGACCCAGACCCAGGAACCUUUUCUCCACCCCUUCAGAGCUGGGGGUCUACAGACCAUGCUACCUCCUCCACCCACAGCCAGCUCCUGCCCCUGCCCACCCCCUUACUAUUGCACUAUUUUCUGUAUUUACUGCUACCU